GAUGAACGCUAGCUACAGGCUUAACACAUGCAAGUCGAGGGGAAACGACAUUGAAGCUUGCUUCGAUGGGCGUCGACCGGCGCACGGGUGAGUAACGCGUAUCCAACCUGCCUCUGACUAAGGGAUAACCCGGCGAAAGUCGGACUAAUACCUUAUGAGGUUUUCUGCAGACAUCUAAUGAAAACGAAAGAUUUAUCGGUCAGUGAUGGGGAUGCGUCUGAUUAGCUUGUUGGCGGGGUAACGGCCCACCAAGGCAACGAUCAGUAGGGGUUCUGAGAGGAAGGUCCCCCACAUUGGAACUGAGACACGGUCCAAACUCCUACGGGAGGCAGCAGUGAGGAAUAUUGGUCAAUGGGCGAGAGCCUGAACCAGCCAAGUAGCGUGCAGGAUGACGGCCCUAUGGGUUGUAAACUGCUUUUAUGUGGGGAUAAAGUGAGCUACGUGUAGUUUAUUGCAGGUACCACAUGAAUAAGGACCGGCUAAUUCCGUGCCAGCAGCCGCGGUAAUACGGAAGGUCCAGGCGCUAUCCGGAUUUAUUGGGUUUAAAGGGAGCGUAGGCCGUGGAUUAAGCGUGUUGUGAAAUGUAGACGCUCAACGUCUGAAUUGCAGCGCGAACUGGUUCACUUGAGUAUGCACAACGUAGGCGGAAUUCGUCGUGUAGCGGUGAAAUGCUUAGAUAUGACGAAGAACUCCGAUUGCGAAGGCAGCUUACGGGAGCACAACUGACGCUGAAGCUCGAAGGUGCGGGUAUCAAACAGG
rnacentral:rRNA from 1 species